ensembl:lncRNA
AGGAGACGUACCUCCCUCUGCGCCGGGUGGGCCCAUGCCAAGUCAUCCGACUGUACCGGUCUGUGGAGGCAGCGGCGCAUUAGCCGCACACAGCCGAGCAGCGUUUCAGUCUGGAUGUCACUGAGAGCGCUUUUAAGCUCCAACCCCUCCCUCUGCUAGUCUCUGCCUGUUCCCCACCCCUCUGUCCUGUAAUGAGGACAAUGAGGGAGACACCCCAGCACUCAGAUGCAUUUACUGUCGCCUCCGAUUUCCAGAGGCGACCUUUCCACUUUUAUGUACCGUCCCAUCCCGUUUGCACUUUGCUCCCCUCCCCUCAGGGCUCUCCUGUGUCCAGUGAAAGGCCAUUGGAUUGAGGCAGGGGAGGAGUAGGGGGCAGCUGGACACUCCCCGUGGCCUGGAUGGAGAGGAGGUGGGGGGCUUUAGAAGGAAGCAAUCCAACACCAUUAGGAUGGGACUGUGGCGAUGGCAGCUGGCCCUAAAAAAAAAGAAAAAGAAAAAAGGAUGGGGGGGCUCAGGGAUCAGUGACCUGGCCACACUGUCCAGCUGGGGGGUCACUCCACAGCCCACAUCCAGCCACGUGCUGGAUGACCAUCUGUGGAUCUGGUAAGCCCCCAACAGAAGCAGAAUCCUCUCCUUAGUUGCAGGGAUGAGGAACCACAACAAAACAAGUCAAGAAGUCUAUCAAUGUGAUAUGGAGCAGGGGAGUGGGGGGGGGGGGGGGGGCGCACAGCACAUCUGCUCCUUUUAUAAAGACUAGGACAGUGUGCACAUCACAAGUUCUCAAGUCAAAACGUUUUCAAUUCUUACUUUACAUUUGAUGACCCAAUGAAAAUCAUGUUUUUGGUGUCUUUAACAUGUCCUUGUGGCAUUUUUCUGAUGAUGGAGGACAUGUAUAAAGAAAACUAAGCUUAAAAUAGCAUUUCUGUUAUUUCUUUGUUGAAAUUGUUGUGAAUCAGGAGCAGACAAAAACAACGCUGUCUGUAAAAGCCUGUGACAUUGAAGGUACAUUCGGCGAGCCACAAGCUCCCUGCUUUUUGCUCUAUUUUGAUUGUAGAAAAUAGACCCAUGUACGUCUAUGUUUUCCUUGCCUGAGCUGGCAUCUGGCUCAAAAUUGUACUGCUGGAUAGCGCCAAUAUUGCUCGGGAUUUCUUUGCACCACUAAUAUUAGGUCACGGUUGUGAGGGGCUGUAAGCUAGUGGGAGAGAGUGUAAGUUGAUGGAUGAUAGGAAAUACUUACUCUGCACUAAAAGUUAGCAAACAACUCAGAGGCCAAUUUCUAAUGAAUUCCUGCCACUCCGCAGAAACCAUAUUCUAGAAAACACACCGGAAUUUUGAUUUUGGCUUUAAAAUGGCGUAAUAAUAUGGUAAUCAAAAAAACGCUGGGAAUGCUUUUAAAUUAGCUCAAAAGAUGAUUGGAGUGGGAUUUUAGCCACAUAUUUUCCAGAAUCCUAAAUUCUUCUCAACGACUUCAAAACAUUUUUAAUGACUGACGGUUUAAAACCAUUGACUGUAAAUGAGAACUGGACUGAGUGACUCCUCCCCCCUCAUGUUCCAAACAGGAAGUGGCUCCAAGAAACCAAACUUCCAUAGACUUCUAUUGAGAAAUCAAGAGCUAUUACUCAGUCUUUAAAUUUGUCAGAAUAACCGAUCUUGCUCUCCUACCUUUUUCUUGACACUGUCUUGUUAAUCCCAAAUUAUUUUUGAUAGUUAUCCAAGUUAUAAACUGACCAAUCAGAUGUUUCAACGUCAGAAUGUGGUCUUACGUCGAAAGUUCAAAAGGUUUAACUGACAGAUUAUCCUGAGCCCACUUUAAGUGGUAGGGUAGUAGUGGUAGUGGAGAUAGUGGGAGGGUCUUAUAUAGUCAGUAAGGGCAAUUGGAGCUGUAGCGACGUCCAAACUUACUGUUUGAAGGGGGUGCAACUUAAGGUUACGUGUCCCUCCGCCGGUAGGGUGAAGUUUACAUUUGAAUGUAAGUAUUGAGUUUCUGUUAUGGCAUGACUUUUUAAAAGUUAUAAAACCAAUGUCAUAAUGUAUAUUCUGAGCGCUGGCAGCUAUGCGCUAACACAGAUGACUGGCAAAUGGUCAUGAUGUCAUCAAGUGGUAGUGAAGUCUGGAUUUGAGGACACUAUUUUUUCCAAAACUCUCCGCUUACAGGGCUAAAUGUAGGAGUAGGGAGAAUGGGUUGGGAAAGAAUUUGGAUUCGGCCAAUGACGCGGACCAACUCAGAUCAAUCACUGCGUACUGAUGUUGUCUGGCUCUAACAUGGCGGCAUCAAUAACGUGACCAAACUGCGCUUGAAAUGACUUCAUUUGUUUGGAGCCGGAAGUCAACCAUUUUCUAUGUGUGACGUCAUACUGUGUGCGGUUCUCAUAUAGAGUCAAUGGCUAAAUGGAGAAUCUGUUUGGCAUCAGUUUCUGCCGCCAUGAGUUGAACGCCCACAUGGUAAAAUCACGUUGUUCUAGACAACUCGUCACUGGUUAAGGUGCUUAAUGGAUCACAAGAGAGUCUUUAAUCUAAAAUAGUUGUUUUCAGUCUUGAUUCAAUCUUUUCCAAUGUUCCCUCCUCUCCUUCAUUGUGCUCUUUUUCUGCCUAAAAACUGUUUAAGGUGAUCAAAUUUGGCCCAUCCUCCCACUGUGGUUAAAGCUGGGGAUCAAAGGUUCCUGACCCCACCCCAAUCUACCAAGGAGCCAUUCACUAUAAACAGAGGUUCUACUAAAUAGAUUUGACCUUUAAGGUGUUUCUAUGAACUUAAAGAUCCCAUUUUUGUUUUAUCUUUUGGAUCCUGUAAUGCCCUCAGCAGGCGUCAUUGUUCUGCUAAUGAAAGUGAUCUUUGCACUUGUGUCUGACAAGCUUUUAAUUAAAUUCACAUAGACCCAGUGUUGAAAAUAAUGCAAGUGAUGCAGUGGUGGUAUUGUUGGACUCAGAAAUGCAGC